CGUGGGGCAUGUCCCUGGGGGUUCCGCCAGCGCCCAUCUCCCACUCCAUGUCUGAGGCUGGAAGCACCAACACCAAGCAGCAGAUGGGCCACGGCAGUGCUCUUCAUCCCCUAGCAGCCCAUAGCUCUGCCGACAUUUCAAACUCCAUCCUUCUGCUUCCUGCUGCCACCUGAUUUUGUUUUGCUCGGCCUGUGAGCGCCUGAGUUCCUGCUUUCUUACGUCUCUCUCAGAGUAAUUAAGAGCCUUACGGAGGUGGGUUUUUUUUCUGUUUCAAAGCCUCCCACAGCCCUCACACCCCCUAUCUGUCAGCACUGCUUGAAGUCAAUCACCAGGAAAAACUCCAACUCAGAAAAAUUAAGAGCCUUACGGAGGGGGCAAGCGUUUUCCCUCUCAAAGCCUCCCGCAGCCCUCACUGCUCCCUGUCAGCACUGCUUGAAGUCAAUCACCAGGAAAAACUCCAACUCAGGUGAGCAACUUUCAAUGAUUCUAACACCACCAAGCCUCAGGUGCUCCUUCACAGCCUCUUAUUUUAGGCCACCUGGCUUUAGGUUAAGAUUAACCCCUCAGGGGUACAUGAAAGGACCGAGGGAUGCUGAUGGGUGUGAAAAGAGGAAGUUUCCAGAGAUCCCUUAAGAGACCCGUCAUAGGUUUGAAGACAGGUUUGAAGUUCUGUAGUUUGAUAUAUGUGACAAAUUCCAACUAAAGAACACCUGAGGCAUUUCAGUGUUCUCUUGAGUAGAGUUAAAGGGCAGGAUUCAAGUUAGUUAUAUUUUAGUUAUUUUUCAUAGUCAUUAAAUAACAUGAAUAUAACUUGUUUUACUACGCUUUUAAAAACAUUGUCAUCUCUGAGUUUCCAUUGUGCCUCAGUGGGUUAAGAACAGGACAUAGUAUCCAUGAGGAUGCAGGUUCAAUCCCUGACCUCACACAGUGGGUUAAGCAUCUGGUAUUGCUGCAAGCUGCAAUAUACAUUGCAAAUGCAUCUUGGAUGCAGCGUUGCUGUGGCUGUGGCCAAGCUAGCAGCUGCAGCUUGCAUUCAGCCCGUAG
rnacentral:lncRNA from 1 species